GGGAAACUGCCUGAUGGAGGGGGAUAACUACUGGAAACGAUAGCUAAUACCGCAUAACGUCGCAAGACCAAAGAGGGGGACCUUCGGGCCUCUUGCCAUCAGAUGUGCCCAGAUGGGAUUAGCUAGUAGGUGGGGUAACGGCUCACCUAGGCGACGAUCCCUAGCUGGUCUGAGAGGAUGACCAGCCACACUGGAACUGAGACACGGUCCAGACUCCUACGGGAGGCAGCAGUGGGGAAUAUUGCACAAUGGGCGCAAGCCUGAUGCAGCCAUGCCGCGUGUAUGAAGAAGGCCUUCGGGUUGUAAAGUACUUUCAGCGGGGAGGAAGGCGAUAAGGUUAAUAACCUUGUCGAUUGACGUUACCCGCAGAAGAAGCACCGGCUAACUCCGUGCCAGCAGCCGCGGUAAUACGGAGGGUGCAAGCGUUAAUCGGAAUUACUGGGCGUAAAGCGCACGCAGGCGGUCUGUCAAGUCGGAUGUGAAAUCCCCGGGCUCAACCUGGGAACUGCAUUCGAAACUGGCAGGCUAGAGUCUUGUAGAGGGGGGUAGAAUUCCAGGU
rnacentral:rRNA from 1 species